GACGAACGCUGGCGGCGUGCUUAACACAUGCAAGUCGAACGGAAAGGCCCUGCUUUUGUGGGCUUAUCGGUUGGCGAACGGGUGAGUAACACGUGAGUAACGUGCCCUUGACUUUGGUAUAACUUCAGGAAACUAGGGCUAAUACCGGAUAGCAUCUCCUGCUGCAUUGUGGGGGUUGGAAAGUCGCUGCGGUCGGGGCUGGAUGCGCGGCUUAUGAGCUUGUUGGUGGGGUAGUGGCAGACCGAGGCUGGGGCGGAUAGCCGGCAUGAGAGGGUGAACAGGGACAAGGGGACUGCGAGACGGCGCAGACUGGUACAGGGGGCAGCAGUGGGGAAUAUGGCACAGUGAGAGCGAGUCGGAUGAAGAAGCGCCGCGUUCGUGAUGACGGUUUGUGGGUUGAAAACAGCUUUAGCCUGAGACGAAGCUGUAGUGACGGUAAUGGGUAAAGAAGCACCGGCUAACUACGUG
rnacentral:rRNA from 1 species